rnacentral:rRNA from 1 species
AUGGAGAUCGCCGGGGACGCCGCCGCGAGCGGUGGCCGCGGCAUCCGCGACCUGCCGCCGCUGAAGCGGUUCAAGUUCGUCGGCUCCAACCUCGGGUCAGCGCCGUGCCCGCCGCUGCCCGCCAAGAAGCGCGCGCUCCCGCCGCUGCCGGAGGCGGCGCCUGCCCCUGCCUGCCUUCCGGCGAAGAAGCGCGCGUGUGCGCCACCGCUGGAUGCCAUCUCGCCGGCGUGUCUUCCGGCCAAGAAGCGCGUCCACGUGCGCCCCCCUCCGCCGGAGGAUAACGCUCCUCCUCCCUCCGUCCCGUACAAGAAGCCUCCCCUCGUUCCGGUGAAGAAGCGCGUCGAGGUGCCGCCGCUCCCGCAGCGCGUCGUCAACGCCAAUCCAUUCGUUCCGGCCAAGAAGCGCGUCCAGGCGCCGUCGCCCCCGGAGUACGCUGCUGCUCCGCCCCCCGUCCCGGUGAAGAACCAUGCCCAGAUGCCGCCGCGCCCGGGGAGCAUCGUCGCCGCUACCCCAGGCGUCCCGGCGAAGAAGCGUGUCCAGGCUCCAUCGCCCCUGGAGCACGCCGCCCCUCCCCCGACCGUUCCGGCCAAGAAGCGGGUCCAGGCGCCGUCGCCCCUGGGGAUCGCCGCUGCUCCUCUCUCCGUCCCGGCCAAGCAGCGCGUCCCUGUGCGGUCGUGCCCGGAGGGCGUCGCCACCGCCCCCUCCGUCCAGACCAACAAGCGCGUUCCGUGGCAAUCGCCCCCGGAGGACGCUUCUGCUCGGGCCCCGGUUUGCCUCCCGGCGAAUAAGCGCGUGAUGUCGCAGUUCAUCCCGCCCUCUCCAUCUUCAUCGAUGAAGUCAGAUGGGGCUCGCGUCGGCGCCCUCAAAGAAGCCUGUCCUCAAGGCUUCGUUGAAAGCGGCGCCGCCACCUAUCCUAAGGCGGCGAAUGGUGCUGAAGCGUCCAAGAUGACCAACAAGCCCGACGAAGUCAAGGAUCAGGUGUUCCAGAAAUCCCGCAGAACAAACACCGCAAAAAGAGCGAGUGGCCUGCACUGCAAGAAGCUCUCCGAUGUCAUCAAUGGCAUGCAAUCUGAAGUUCAGUCCGAAGAGCUCAAGAAAUUCGAGCCAGCGAGUGAUCUGCACUGCAAGAAGCUCUCUGAAGUCGUCGGUAGCAUGCAGUCUGAAGUUCAUGCCGAAGAGCCCAAGAAGUUCGAGCAAACUAGUGAUCUGCACUGCAAGAAGCUCUCCGAUGCCGUCAAUGACACACAAUCUGAAGUUCAGGCCAAAGCGCUCAAGACAUUCGAGCAAACUAGUGAUCUGCACUGUAAGAAGCUCUCUGAUGUCGUCGGUAGCAUGCAAUCUGAAGUUCAAGCCGAAGACCUCAAGAAAUUCGAGCAAACUAGUGACCUGCACUGCAAGAAGCUCCCCGAUGCCGUCAAUGACGCACAGUCUGAAGUUCAAGCCGAAGUGCUGAAGAAAUUCGAGCAAACGAGUGAUCUGCAUUGCAAGCUCUCCAAUGCCGUCAACGGCGAACAAUCUGAAGCUCAAGCCGAAGUGCUUGAGAAAUUCGAGCAAACGGCUGAUGUGCACUGCAAGAAGCUCCCCAAUGUAGUCGAUGACGAACAGUGUCAAGUUCAAGCGGAGGCGCUCACGAAAUUCGACCACGCGAUUGUUCCUGAAGUGGCAGCGCCAGCACGCGAGGAGGAACACACGCAGGAAGACGAAGAAGUGGCGGCCGAGCGAAGGCAAGAUGCUCUCGCGGAAGAAGAGGACGACGGCAUCCUCUGCGCGGUCUGCCGAAGCACCGACGGCGACCAGUCGGACCCCAUCGUGUUCUGCGACGGGUGCGACCUCAUGGUGCACGCCACGUGCUACGGCAACCCGCUGGCCCAGUCCAUCCCGGACGGCGACUGGUUCUGCUCGCUCUGCUCCGUCAAGCCCGCCGCCGCCGCGGGGAAGAAGGGCAAGCCGGCACGCCCGCCCUGCCGCCUCUGCCCGGCGAGGGGCGGCGCCAUGAAACGCACCACGGACGGCGCGUGGGCGCACAUCGCGUGCGCGCUGCUGGUGCCGGAGGUGUUCUUCGGGGACCCGGACGGGCGCGAGGCCAUCGACUGCUCCCUCGUGCCCGGCCGGCGGUUCACCAGGCACUGCUACAUCUGCGAGAGCAGCAGGGGCUGCGCGCUCGAGUGCUCCCAGCCCAAGUGCGACCUCGGGUUCCACGUCUCCUGCGGCCUCAACGGCGGCCUCUGCAUCGAGUACCGCGAGGAGAAGGGCGGCGGCGUCGUCGCCGGCUUCUGUAGGGAGCACACCAAGCUCUGGGAGAAGCAACAACUGACUGGCAAGUACAAGAUUGUUUCUAGAGGGCAGCAAUGA